GAGAGAGAGAGCCUCCCCUUACAGCUCCAUGGAACCCUGCCCUGCUAAUAGUUUCCACACCGGGAGGGAGAAGAGUAGAGGAGGAAAAGAGAGGGAGCGGUGGGAGACACUUCCUGUGGCUGGGUAUUGGCCACACCGCGGCGGGAGAGGGAGCAGCGGGUGCUGGGCUGCAGUGGGCACUGUGAAGGAAGCUCAGUCAGCGAGCAGCUGCUUGGACAGAGAUGGGGACUGGGAAUGGGGCUAGGCUGUCUCUCUCUAUGCCCAGCCACCAGCCUGGGCCCUGCUGUUUUCCCUCCAGCCUCUCCCUGACCAGCCAGGCUGCUCCCAUCCCUACAUAUCAACAGGGCUGGCCACAAGACAGAGUGUACAGGGUGCCUCUCAGGAUUACCGCCAUGGGUCCAUAGAUUUCCUAUAGGUAUGUGGACACCCCUUCAAAUUGGUGGAUUCGGCUAUUUCAGCCACACCCGUUGCUGGCAGGUGUAUAAAAUCGAGCACACAGCCAUGCAAUCUCCAUAGACAAAUAUUGGCAGUAGAAUGGCCUUACUGAAGAGCUCAGUGACUUUCAACGUGGCAGCUUCACAGGAUUGUCAAAUGUCUGCCCUGCUAGAGUUGCCCCAGUAAACUGUAAGUGCUGUUAUUAUGAAGUGGAAACAUACAGGGGCAACAACGGCUCAGCCACAAAGCAAGCUCACACAAUGGGACCAUCUGUCCUCGGUUGCAACACUGACUACCGAGUUCCAAACUGCCUCUGGAAACAACGUCAGCACAAGAACUGUUCAUCGGGAGCUUCGCGAAGUUGGUUUCCUUGGCCGAGCAGUGGAAGGGGAGCAGUGGAAGCGCUUUCUCUGGAGUGAUGAAUCACCAUCUGGCAGUUUGACGGACGAAUCUGGGCUUGGCGGAUGCCAGGAAAACGCUACCUGCCCCAAUGCAUAGUGCCAACUGUAAAGUUUGGUGGAGGAGGAAUAAUGGUCUGGGGCUGUUUUUCAUGGUUUGGGCUAGGCCCCUUAGUUCCAGUGAAGGGAAAGCUUAAUGCUAUUGCAUACAAUGACAUUCUAGACAUUUCUGAGCAUUUCUGAGCUUUAAAAAUUGGUGUGGAAGAAUUUGACUGGCCUGCACAGAGCCCUGACCAGAACCCCAUCGAACACCUUUGGGAUGAAUUGGAACGCCGACUGUGAGCAAGGCCUAAUCGGCCAACAUCAGUUCUCAACAUCAGUUCUAAUGCUCUUGUGACUGAAUGGAAGCAUGUCCCUGCAGCAAUGUUUCAACAUCUAAUGGAAUGCCUUCCCAGAAGAGUGGAGGGGCGACCCACUCCAUAUUAAUGCCCAUGAUUUUGGAAUGAGAUGUUCAACAAGCAGGUGUCCACAUACUUUUGGUCAUGUAGUGUAUGUCAAACGAACCUAAAAUGUAAAUACAGUAUCAAGUGUUACGUUACUUUCUUAAAAGAGUAUAAACCCUGUCUAAGUUAGGAGAAGAGUGGAGAGGGUUGGGGGGGGGCGUUAUUUGGCUAUUUGGCUACUUGAAUAAUCC
ensembl:lncRNA